CUGAAGGCCGCGUUCGGGUCACUUGCGGACUGCAACACCCGAUCUCGCUCCUCGUCCCCCCCGAGAUGGCGGUCGAGGAGGGAGAGCGCGUCACCAUCAG
rnacentral:ncRNA from 1 species